ACAGAGCCGCAGAAUCAUGCGCAUUGCCGGGGAGAAGGUGGUAUAGCGUCUCUGCCCGCUUCUCUCUCGGCUCACACUGCGUGGCAAGUUUCUGGUGAGGGAAAUGGUAGCUUCUAACGGGACCCUGGCGGGUCUCAAUUACCCCGGACAGGUCUGAGGGAAGUGGAGCCCCCGCCCACUCAUGGAACCCAACAUCCGGUUUCCAUCCGGCAAAAAGCAGUUCCCGAGAGGACCAUGCUGAUUCUAUGAUGGGGAAACCCAGGAGCCGGCGGCCCGGGAGAGCCGGGGAACGUCCUUCGCCGGAGAUCUUUUCAAAGAGGUCACGCGCCGCCUCCCCACCCCGUCUCCCUCCGCACCCAGACACGUCCCCAGAGCAGCGCACCACCCCCUCCAAACGUGAUGCAGACCGGGGGAUGACUAAAAUGACCUCUCAAAGUCGCUAAGAUUUAGAGUGAGUCAUUGGCUCAGCUGCGAAGUGCCACAGACCCCUCAGGAACACUCGUGCACACACACUCCACCCCCAGUGCUGGUCACUGCUGCUCAUCAUUACUGAAUCCCGACUCCAAGCAGUCAAAGUUGGGUCUUUUUCCCACUUCUCCUGAUAAAGGCUGCUUCCUCACGCACAUGGUUCCUCCCCUCUCCACCUUACUCGGAGCCCAGCCCCGACUCGGCCGCAUGAAACCAAGAUGGGUUUGGGGGAAGCUUUAGGAGUCUGGGAUGGAGGAGACCCAGGGAAAGGGAAGGAGCUUCUCAUCCUACAGAGGAAUGUAAAUAGGAAACUGGAAGGUCUUCGUAUGUUCCAGUCUCCCUACCCUAGCCUGUCUGCUUCCCCUCCCCCAAUACAGUUGUAUUUGCAGAAGAAAUAAAUGAGUGUCAUGGAAACAUCUACUACAAACAAUCACCUCACACCAGCGCUCAGAGGCUGCAGUGAAGAUGUUUGUUCUUUCAAGGAGUGAAGGCAGUGGUAAGAAUCACACCGCUCCCUGGGAUGGGCUGUUGGCCAAGGAAGGAAGGCAGAGGGUCAGCGAGCGAGAGCUCAGGAAUUUCAUCCUCUCAAAGCACUCGUUAGCCACAAAGCCCUGGCUCCAGGACAUGAAGCUCCCAAAACAACAAGAAGGAGACUUGCUUCUGGGAAAGCGUGCACACAGGUACACACACAUGCACAAAAAGUGGCCUUGAACACCGGAGGUGGAGCAUUCCCUGACACCGGAAGCCUCUUAGCUCACCGCCAGCUGGGAGGCAGAAAGAGGCCCCCAACAGAGCAGUCAGUGAGCACAUGGAUAAAGGUCGAGGGCCUGGAUAGAUCCAGAGAACCAGGACUGUUGAAUAACCUUCUACCCUACCCACCCCUCCACCUGUGCAAACACACUCAAGAUGCAUAACUUGGGGCCAUCUCUCCCUGAGCCAUGAUUUUGGUUCUCUUCUUGGGCAAAGAUGCCUUUCUGGGGACAAUGAAGUGAGCUGCUCCAGGUCUCAUUGAUGCAGUGAUCUCCAGGUCUCAUUGAUGCAGUGAUUUCCAGGUGGCAUGACCCAGAAUAACUCCACCCCCAACACACACACACACAUAUACAUACACACACACUUACACACUUUCCCAGGGCCCCGGGACUGUAAAGACAUAUUGGAAUCCAUUUGCAGAAUUGGUCAUAACAGGAUCCUUCUCCUCCCACAACCUCUAAGCAGCUAACUGUGGCCUAGAGAAAAGUGCCGGAUCCACAAAGCCUGGCCCUAGUUCCUCACCAUUGUUAGGUAUGGAGUGGGAAACAUCAGGUCUCAGAGAAACCCUCUCCUAGGGGCCUGCAGGGCAAGGAAAAAGAUGGAGCCACUCUCACCACCCAUCUUGAUUGCUUUGUCUGGCCAUCCAUUUGUCCUACUCAGGGUUCUGCCUCCUGCUAGGAAAGUAGAACUGUCUGUCAGAAUGGAUGGCGGGCAUGGAGGCUCAUGCCAGUAGUCUCAGCUCCUCAGGAGGCUGAAGCAGGAGUAUUGCCUGAGCACAGGAGUUCUAGGCUCAGUGAUCAUGCCACUGCACUCCAGCCUGGGUGACAGAAUGAGACCCUGUUAAAAAACAAACAAAAACAACAACAAAAGUGUCUGUCAAAUUGGAAAGAAAAAAACACGUAACAAGCUUUAGAACAUGAGUUGGGUUGGGAAGGGGUUCGAAGGAUCUAUCUAAAGAGGAGAACAAAUUUCUUCUGGAUAAUUCUACUGGAAACAGAGUGGAACAAGGGAUGAAGGCAGAGAGGAAGGGGAAGAAAAUUAAGAUACAAAGGGAAAAGUUCGUCAUCAUCAUCAUCAUUAGACAUGUCUCAACUGGGUUUCAGAUCAGCUAAAGAGAGAUAUACUGUAUCAGCUUACAGUGAGGAGUGAGUCUGAUCAAAUCUUUUCCUCUUGGCGUAUGGCUGAGCUUUGGACCCAGAAAGGAUGGUUGCCCCUUCCUAGAAUAGACACAUCCAGUUGAGUGUUCAAGGGGAGCAUGGACCCCAGAUGUCCAAAAGGGACAUGAGGGAGGAACAUGAGCCACUUCCCUGCGCAGCUCCUAGGUGUACCUGAAUGUCAUCGAUGUCACUAAUAAAUGCAGUAAUAUAUCCAGGAAUGCUAUGUAUAUCAGAUACGGGAGUGUCUGUCAUCUUCUUUUAAGAGGUACUGACUUUUUGGAAAUACAAAACAAUAGUCUUAUCAGUGUGUCUAUGAAAAAAAACCAAAUGUAGCCACCUACCUGCACAUCCCAGAGGCCUUUGGAGGACAUGUGAGAAAGGGGGCUGACAGGAGCUUCAAGUGUAGGAGAAGAGGAAACUAUCCUCCUUCCCUCCUCAUAGUCAUCGAACAAGGAGGACUCAAAAACAAUAGUUCACUUGUCUGUCACUUCUCACCUUCCUCAGUGGUUCCAGCCCUCAUUGCAGAAUCUAGGGUAGAACAAUUGUUGGGACAGCUGCUUGUGAAAAGGAGAGGCAGUUCUAAAUAAAAGCAGUUUACUCAACACAAACACCAAAGAGCGUGUUUAGUGUUUACAUAAAUAGGGAACUGUAUCAGUUGUCUUACCGUGUAAAAACCCAGCCCAAAAUAUCAUGGCUUAAAGCAAGAAGGCUCAUUCAUUUGCUCUUGAAUCCGCAAUUUGGACACUGGCUGGUGAGGACAGCUCUUCUCUACUUCAUGUGGCAUCAGCUCCACUGGGGUGUGGACCUUUCUCCUUUCAGGAUGGCUUACUCACGUGGCUAGCAGGUUGACGCUGGCUGUUAGCCUGGGCUGCCAGCAAAGGGCUGUGAUUCUUCCUCAAGUGGGCCUCUCUGCAGGCUGCCUGGGCUUCCUCAAAGCAUGGUGGUUCCAAAAGCUGGCAUCCCAGUAGAACCAGGUGUUCCAGGCCAGCUCUGAACAAUCUCAGAGAAAACAUAUUUCAUUGUUGUGUGACUUAAGGUAGGACUACAGAAAGGAAGUUCAUUACUCUGCAUGAAAUUUGUCCCAUAGAACUCAGGAGCCCUAUAUAGAUAGCCCUGCUUGUGAACUGCCCCCCAGGAACAUUUCACCCACACUGUUCAGCAACUCCUCACCUCGCCAAUGUCUGCAUCAUUAAAAAUGUUGUUCUCAGGCCUCCUGGGGCUACCCUGGCCCACCUGAGUAUGCCCUUGUCUGCCCAUGGCCACAGGCCCCAGCUGCAAGGCGCAGUGACAGAUGAGCAGAGCGAACCUCACUCAAACUCUUGGCAUCCAGAAGUCUGGAAGACAGCUAGAAUCAGGGCUCCACUGCACCAUCCAGCUCUGGCCCCAGCAGCCCAAAGGUGUGGGUCAUUCUCUUUGUCUGAGUUCUACUUCCUCCAUCUGGAAAAGGGACCGUAGAAGGUAGUGGGAACUAAGGCCCAGGAGAGAAGGAUCUGAAGACUCUGAUGGGCAGUUUCUUUGUCACAGACUCUCCAGCAGCCCAAUGUCAUGGCCCUG
rnacentral:lncRNA from 10 species